GACCACGCCAAGCAGCUUAUCGAGGAGAAGAUCGAGGUGGGUUGGGGCGGGCUCUGGGGGUUUGGGCUCGCAGCCCGGAUCCCAGCCCACUCACCUCGGCUGCUCUCCUUCCU
ensembl:miRNA